GCCCCCUUCGUCUAUCGGUCAGGACGCCAGGUUCUCAUCCUGGUAAGGUGGGUUCGACUCCCGCAGGGGGCGCCA
rnacentral:tRNA from 1 species